rnacentral:tRNA from 1 species
GUUUAUAUAAUUUAUAAAGAAUAUUGCAUUGAAGCUGCAAAAGAAGUUGUUAAACUUAUGAACA